rnacentral:lncRNA from 1 species
UCCUGCGAGGGUUAACGGAGUGAUCAGCCAUUUCUCAGCUCACAUGGUAAACAAAGACAAAAAAAUCAGAGCCCAAAAAUGAGGAACGAAUACCUUUUCAAUACUCAAAAAUCAAAACAUUCAAGUAGUCCGAAUAACAAAAGAUUCUUUAACCCAUUUCUUUAGCAUUACAUUUCAGGGGGAAAAUGAACCGUUACAUUCUUUUUAAACUAUUAACUAUAGUAACAAAUAACACGGCGAGAUAAAUUCUUGGUGGCUUAACAUGAACCCCACAUAGGUAGUUGCAAAAACUGUACUGGGCAGAUGACUCUUUUAGCAAAAAGAAUUAAUGAUGGAGGCUAACAGUGAUUAAACUUAUGACAAUGGAAACUUCUGAUAUGCCUCACAGAUGAAAUUAAAGGGGAAAUAGCUGGAUCGAAUUGGGUUCAUUACAAGGAAAAAAAAACAUACCGUAAGGAAGUUGCCCGUGUUCUGGCCAUCUGCACGGUAGUAGUUGUUCGCCCGGCUACCUGGAAUGCCAGCUGGAAUCUGCUUGGUUACAUCGGCAGCUGCCAGUGCUGGUUUCUCAGCAGGUGCUGGCUUCGCAGCUGGUGCUGCAGCAGGCUUUGCAGGCUCACCAUCUCCAAACAGGUAACCCAGAGAACUUUGACCACCUCCAGCACUCCCGCCACGACUCAUCUUGACUGUAAGAUAAAUAGGUAAAGUGCAACAUAUGAGUGAACAAGUUCAACAUGAUUGUCAGAGUGCAAUACAUUAAGAAACAGCAAAUGAAAUCAUCAGGGAUAAAAGUUUCCGAAAAAAUUCAGAUCUCAGAGAUAAACUACAUAAGCCAAGUGAAUCUUGAAAUCAUAUGUCCAUACCGGAUAUAUUUGACCACCAGUUGCAACAAAAAUGUUUAGAUAGUGGCAUUUCAAGAAAUAGCGUGGUAAUUUAGGAGCAGAAGACAGAAAAAAGCAUGCAUGCUGAACCAAGUCUUCAGACAAGAAUACUUGGUAAGAUUAAGUAACCAGUGCUGCUUAGACUGAAUGAAGUCAAACAGGGUCAGAUAUUAUCACAAGCCACAAGGUAUGCUGUCAAUUAAAGCAUAUAAUCUACACAGGUUAGGUAAGAUCCACUUCUGUGAAAAAAGAAAGAUAAAACUCUGAACAUGAGGAAAUAUAGUUUGAGUGCGGCCAUGAAAGAAUAUCUAACAGUUGCUUUUAAUAAGAACUUCGAACAAAGGGCAUAGAGUGUGCUUGCAGGACAUGUUGCUAAGGAUAAUGGUGGUUACCAGUCAAUACAGGGCAACCUGGAAAAUGAGGCAAUCCAAACCCAAAAUAUAACUCAAUCCAGGGCAACUAAUCAACAUCAAACAGUAGAUAUCCGCAGUAUUGCGUUUAGUGAAAACAUUUAGAUCUCUGUUAGAGUGCAUAAUCAAUAGAGGAGAUGAUAGCAUCUCGAAACCUUAUAUGGUUAAACCAAUGACAAAGACAAAUUUCAGCAUCUUUGGGUUGAGAAGAUAAAAAUAAGAGGGCAACAGGUCCCCCACCACGAAGUGCGGUUUGGAAACACGAUGAAGAAGUGAACUACACAUUCAUACAGACCAGCAAGUUAAU